UAAAGCCCAAAGUAUCAUCCAAAAUAUCCUCUAAAUGAGAUAUAGGUGAGAGUGAGGUAGACUCAUCCUGAGGCAAACUGCUCAGCUGUGAACCUGUGGAACCAGACAAUUUAUGUGCUUCCACAAAAAUACAGUGCUGAGACAGGCACAGGACAUUCCCAUUCCAAAAGAGAGAAGUAGAAUAGAAGGAAGGGGUAAUGGAUCCCAAGUAAGUCUAAAACCCCCAAGGCCAAUUACCUGAACUCUUAAGAAUAAUCCUGUUUGGCUCAAUGCUCUGCUUUCCAGACCCACUGGGGUGGCAGGCCAGUCUCCACCUCAGAAAGGUGUGGUGGAGGAGGGGGUAUCCAGCAUGCCUGAGGCUCCAGGCAGCCCUACCCCAUGUAAGAUCACUCUCUGUCCCUUUCAUAAGCCCAUCUUAAAUCAUUCAUAUUUUUUUUUUAGGGUAUAGAUUUUUGUUGUUGUUGUUGUUAAUUUAAAAACACCUCUUAAUGGUAGAAUCUUAUUUACUGGAAAAGCAUUGCAAAUAAGGAAAUCUUGAGAUCUAGAGGAAUCUAUGUGGCAAAGAUUCAGCUUAAACAAGUCCUCAGGAUGGCUUCCAUUCCUUCUGGUUCUUGAGCUAAUCCCGGGAGUGUUUAGUAUUUUUUUUUUUUAAUCUUUGACAGGAGUUAUACUUAGUGUAUAUGUCUUAAUUUAUGCAUUUAUUUAUCUUUUAAUAGGUCCAGAACUGCUGAAGACUCACAUCUUGGAUAAUGAGAGAGCUAUGGCUUUACAAAUAACAAUGGAUAUCUGUCUUCUCCGUGAGGCUGAAGACUGAAGGAAUCACAUCUGUCUUUUGAUUUUUAAAUCCCCAGUGUCUAGCAGAGCGCUUGAUAUGUGGUAGAAGCUCAUUAUGUAUUGGUUGAGUAAAUGCAUGAAAAAAAAAAAAUAGAAUACCCAUACUCAAGGAUGUUUUGGCUUAGAAUUGAUUCACUAUCUCAAAUGCAGCUGGAUUGUUGCCAUUGAUUUCUAGGGAUAUUUUAGCCUGAUGAGUGAAAAAGCUUGAGGGGGCACUUGUUUACAAAAAAGAUCUAAUUUAUCCUCUUCCCUUCCAUUCCUGACCAGUUUGCAACUUCUUUUUACCAUAUGCAAUCCUUAUUAAAUUUAAAAAGUCUCAGAAUUUCCUAGUAGCUUGAUACUUUCAAAUAUAACUCCUAUCAUAGGAAAUAUUAGAAAAAUUAUAGAAUGUACCCCUGCCCUCCCCCCACCACCUUCUUUUGAGACCUACUACCUUUCUUCUUUAGGUUGCAAUCUGGAUUUCUCAAAAGUCUGCUAAGGUUUUAUUUGGCCUAUAGUUUGCAUGGAACCUCCCCACAUGUUUUCUACCCCACCCUUAAAUAAGGCCAACACAGGUUGACUUUUGCUUAAGCUAAUUUUCAUCUCUGUGCAACAAUUAAAAUUUAUUCACCAGAGAUUAUGACCAAUAAACACCACUAACUUUAAACCAUAUCCUUACUCCUGUCCAAUACAUCCCAAAGUUUGUUGAGUUGAUGAGUAUUAAUUUAUUCAUUCAUGUUCCCACCUGUGCAUCUAAAUUUAGACACAUUUAUUUGGUCAUAGGAAAAUUAUAGUGAGAGAAAGGUUAGGGUGUAAUGGAUUAAACAUGCAACAUUUAGGUUUUAAGGAAAUUCUUCAAAUACUAACCCAACCAAGAACUCAAGCACAGGAUCAGUGUCAUUAGUUAGAAUGAGCUAAUAGACAAUGAGCUGACCAAUUAUAAAGAUUAUUCUUGAAUUUUAUAAUGAAAUAGUCUUUUCUUCUUGUCCAUAUCCUUAGUAAAAUUGUACAGAGACUGCAGAGCAGGUGCUCAACAGGACUGAGAUGACAAAGACAUGGGAGACCACAAUAAUAUGCAGCUUCCCUGGCUCUCAGCUGAAGGAGAGAUCUCCUCAGGAAGAGGUUUAACACCUGGGGAAAAAAGAGGAUGUGGAUCCAAACUGAAUACCAGGCUUUAUAUACCUGUCUGAGCCUCAGUGUCAUAACCUAUAAAAUGAACAUAUUGAGUUGAUGUAACAAAUAAAUGCUCUUAUCUCAGUACUUACUGUAUAUUUAAACACUAUGACUUGGUGCCAUUAUAAUGAUUAUUAUUCCUUUUGUUAAUAAUAGCCUGGGGCACCGGGUUCUCUCAGUCUAUUGGGUGUUCAAAUCUUGAUUUUUGGCUCCAGUCAUGAUCUCACAGGUUUGUGGGGUCAAGCCACAUGUCAGGAUCUGUGCUGACAGUGUGGAGCCUGCUUGGGAU